ACGAAGGGGGCUAGCGUUGCUCGGAAUCACUGGGCGUAAAGGGUGCGUAGGCGGUCCUUUAAGUCUGAUGUGAAAGCCCACGGCUCAACCGUGGAGGGUCAUUGGAAACUGGGGGACUUGAGUGUAGAAGAGGAAAGUGGAAUUCCACGUGUAGCGGUGAAAUGCGUAGAGAUGUGGAGGAACACCAGUGGCGAAGGCGACUUUCUGGUCUGUAACUGACGCUGAGGCGCGAAAGCGUGGGGAGCAAACAGGA
rnacentral:rRNA from 1 species